ensembl:lncRNA
AAGACGUCGGAGUAACAAAACACAGCAAUAAAUGACAUGAUAAAAUGAGCUGUGCACACAAGUACUCAUGAAUAGAGGGCAGUAUGGGGGCAGAUUAGCUUGGCCUGAAAUAGCUGGGGAAACCUUUCUGUCCUGGAGAAGAGGAGGCUCACGCUGGACAUUCAUGGUGGGGCAGAACAUGGCUAGGUGAAGGCAGAGGCGUUAGGGAAUAUGCGGAAGCCUGGCGGUCAGAAAUAAACACGAUAUGGACAGGCAAAGACUGAGACCUAGGGCAGACAUCAGGUUUUGUCCAUACUGUCUACAACCCUAGUUCUGCCUCUCACCAACCCCACUACCACCACCUCCCAUAGGCCUGGCAUCUUACCCUACACGCUACACAAACAAAUCAGAAAACCCCAAGGAGAACACCUAGCAUUUACUAAGUGCCAAGUGCUCUUCUAGACGUCUUCCAUAUAUUGACUUAUUUAAUCCUCACACUGCAUAUAAUCGCCACUUUUCAGAUGACGAAACUAAAGCACAGAGAGGUGAAGUGACUUGGCCAAGCUAGUAAAUGGUAGGGCUAGUAUUUAAUCACAGGAGAUAUCAAAAUUCCGGUAUACCCAACCACAACAGACCACAUGGGCACAACCUUCCAACACGUGUAAAGAGCAGCUUUGAAACAGCUGGGCCCACCUUUCCCCAUCACCCAGUCUUUAUUCCCUUCCAGUUCUCCCAACAAUUCAGUCCUAAUUGCUAAGGAUUCUUAAGGCUGCUGUCACACCUCGAGGGCUACUUCCAAAAGUCCAUGAGAGCUGAUCUAAAUGGAUGGUUUCUUGGAUACCUCAGCAAUCCAGACACGGUGGAAAACUGAGAAACCCUGAGUGAGGCCCUUAAACAGACCGAUGGCUGCCAUCUGGCACCCGAGAACAGAUUUUAAAAACAUCCUCCAUUGCCAUACAAAGUAUCUGGCCCCAGAGUUUGUUAUCAGCAGAACCAGGAUUAAAAGUUAUGACCUCUGUCUUUUCUCUCUCUCACUCUUACUCUCCCAAGGUGUAUAUUGGUGUAUAUUUCUAUUUUUUAGCAAAGCAGCCAAAGAGAAACAUCAAAAGGAGCCUUCCAGUAGGGUUAGCAGUAAAUGAAUAGCGUCUGGACGGAGAGAGCAAAGAGAAAGUGAGUCUCAGAUAUUGUGCUAAAUCUAUAAGCUUUCUCUGGCUUUUCUUUGAAAGGUGCUCUCCCCUAAACUUGGAUCUGUGGCUUAUAUAUUUACUCAUCCCAAACACCACCUGAGACUCCAGAGGCAGGCUUUCAGUAACAUUGAAAGCUCAUAAUCUUUCAUUCAAAUUUUAGGUCAUUCAGCUUGUAGGACCUAUGCCCUUUUUACAACAAUGUAACUUAAAUGAGGAGAUGACUGUAAGGGCUUGACCAGGUCGAUGUGGUUUAGCGCGGUAAGGUCAUGUGGUUUAGCGCCGUUUUGCAGUCUAGCUAACUAACCCUGUGGAGCCCUCGGAGUUGGGGGCACCUAUCAGCGACUGGUUUACUGAGAUCCCACAGCCUCAUGUGACCAUUGGGAGGUCUGGGUGUCACCAACUAAAAAGUCCCCCUUUUGAUUAUCAAUCGCAAUGAUUGUAUUUUAUUUUCUCCUCGGGAUCCUGGUCCUCCCAAGUGAGCCCUGACACACCAGGAAGGGGAAACAGGCCCUCUGAACAUAAUCACACGGAGUUUUUAAGGACCCAAUGCUUAGUAGUGUUUUUGGCACAUUAAAUGUUGAUUACUUUUCUUCCUUUCUCCCUAAAUGAAUGAAAAACCAUUUAGAUCAUUCUCAGGAGUAGCAACAGACUAAAAAGAAAUAAACUUUUUAAAUGAGUAAGAACUUGGAAUUUCCUUUAUAAAAUAAAAUUAAAUGUCUUUGCAUAUUAAAUGAAAUUUGUCACUGCUUGAUUACAAUUUAAAUUAUAACAUUCGAAAUUUAAAAAUCCCUUCACAGGUAGAACUUACAGAAAAAGAUGGAUGAACACAAAGCUUUCUGGAGUGAAAGGAUAAAACUAUAUAUAAAUAUUUUUUUAAUUCUACAAAAUACAGUAAGAGUAUUACAAGAAAACCCCCCACCUGUCUUAAGAGCCAGGUCCCAAGAUUUUCUGUUAACAAUACCCCACACGAGGCUUGCAGUCAUGCCUACUGCUCUUUUCUCAUAAAAUUUUUCUUCUAGUUCUCCUUUUGUUUUGAACUUCAGUUACUGCCUUCCCACUGGCUAUACACAGCCACACAUAUCUUUCAAAAGCUAAUUGAAGCAUAGAGAAGUUAAACAUGAUUUAUUCAAGGUCAAAUCUCAAGUCAGUGGAAAAGCCAUAAAUACAGCCUCUGGGCUGCUGAGCGUUCUGGGUGCUGAGCCAUACUGCAUGGCAAAGUUUUGACUUCUGAUUGUUGUUUUUCCAAAGUCCCUUGGGUAUUUAAAAGCAGCUCAUGUUGACAAGAUAGAAGGAAGACGCUUUUAACAAAUUUCAUUAACAUUGCACAACUUCACAUCCUUGGACCUAUCACAUAUGCCAAUUUGUUUUUAACAUAUGCAUUUAAAACUCCCUUUAAGACACCGUAUAACUGACUCGAAUACACAUGAAUGGGACACGGUUUAGCAGCCUACAAUAUUCCCUAUUUUUUCCCAUUAAAUGCAGCCGAAUCACAAUGCACACAGGAAGCAGUGUGUGCAAAAAGAACUGCCCUGCAUUUAAGACCCACAGUACACCCCAUUUGAAGAUAAGACCCGCAUGAAGAGUGCCUGGGAAGAAAGAGAAGAUUCUGGGAGUGCAAGAUGUAAGGAGAAAAACAUCAAGUACUGAGCUGCACUGAGAAACGAGGGCGCCAGGGCUGUCAUAAAAAAACAUUCACAAGCAUGCAGAUUAAACAGAUAACAAGAGGGGUUUUUUUUUUCUUUUUUAUAAAAAAGGGAGGUCAUUCCUCUUGCUUUCAGGACCUUAAAAAAUAAACCAGAGCGGCCAAAGGCUGGGAGGCUGACCCCUGGUGAAGACAGACCAGAGCACAUAAUUCAGUUUCUUAAAACCAGGAGAAACCAAAUCUGAGGGAGUGGUUUUACUUUAGCUUUCUGCGACCACACUCCAAGACUACUUGAUCGAACAAAUGGGCAUUUUCUCCUGGCAUCUCUACAUCAUGAAAAAACUCACUUGCCAUUUAAUUUUUAUCUAAUCGUCUUGGCUGUUUUUUGUCUGCCUCUUUCUCCCGUCUACCCCCACCCCACCUACACUGGCAUUCUCUGUGGUCAAAGAAUCUGUUUCAGUAUUAGUGUUCAAUAUAACAAAUGUCAAGUAAACACUCGACACAUUUCCUGUGCUAUUUAAAGCAUCCUAAGCAAUUAUUUGCCCUAAAGUAUUAAACUAUAAAUUUUCUUAGCUGCUGCCAAUUAUUAUAGUAAUAGCUGUCACAGAACAGUGCUUAGAAUACUUAAAUGAAACUUUUAAAUCAGCUAUGCUCUUAGGCUACCAGGCUUUGCCAAGAUUUUUCUAGUUUCCAUAUUUUUACAGCAUGUUUUUGAGACAAUGGACAAAAACUGCAAAGUGUCAUAUUUAGCUUUUUUUUUCAUAUUUGAAGCUUAAUAGGUACAUCAGUAUCUUUCAAUGUAGAUUUUUUUUCUAAGCAAAAAGAUAAGAGAUAGAAGGUACAGACAGACACAGACACUGCCAUCUCAUUACUAUACUGCUUAUUAUCACAGGCCAAAAACAUGACCACUGAAAUAUCACUAUAUUUGAUAAAGCUCCAAAUCAUAUAGUUGGUCAUAAAAGAGUCCCUGAACAUUAGUUCUAUAAAGAGUGCGUAUGACAUUUAUGCACACAAACGCACACAGCACUAGAAGACUAUUAAUCAAUACACACAGACAGAUGCAAAUGCGUUAUGUGCCGAUGACUACAGACAGAUAUACACACAUGCUUAUAAGCAAUUUUAUGUUUAGCCAGACGUGGUUCUUUUUAAUCUUUUAAAAUUUACUACAUAUUUUUGUAAUUACAUGGGAGUAACUUAAAAGUAACAUGAUUCUAAAUCCUUAAUAGCUAAGACUGCAUUAAAUUGCCAUCUCCCCCUACAGAAUUGUAUGGUCCUUGAAAAAAUUUUCAUGCAGCAGAGCACAUUUACGAACCAAAAACAGAAACUCUUUGCUUAUUUUUUUAAAUGUAGUUAAUUAUGAGAAUAUAUUUUCCAACUGAUGAAAGAAUUAUAUUAUCCCCACCCGGCCAGAACCCAUUUUGAUUUUUACAUAAUGUACCAGGUAUUACUACUUGCUGAAAGAUUGCACUGAAGCAUUGAGGGACAACAAGGUUAUAUUAUCUUAACAUGUUCCACUCAAUGGUUUCUGAUUGUGUUACGAAGUGCCCUCGCAUUGGUUACCAAAAAUGUAUCGCUAUUUUAAGAGUCACACUAUUAAGGAAACACAUGUCUGCAGAGCUAAUAUUUGUGAAUUAUAACCCGACAAACUUUUUAGAGAUCUGUCAGCACAGUCACAUUAAAUCACCCCCCCAGGGUGGUCUGUCUCUGACAAUUCCUCCACGGCACGCUUUGCUUGGGAGGAGAUGCGUCAUUUGAAUACACCAAAGAAAUUCUCACCUCACUAAGAAUCCCCAGCUCUAGGCAUGGUACUUUGGCCUGAACACCACAGUAGAGAACACUCUCCCUAACCUUUCUAUAGGAGUCUGACUCAGUUCCUCUUUCUGCUCCACGAUGACGAGAACAAAGGGGGAAGAAGUAAAAGAGAUGACAGAGCAGGGAAGAGAGACGAGAAAAAGGAAGGAAAACAAAAUAAUCAUCUGGCUGGGGUGCGUAUUUGUGCACUUUUGUUAAAAAUAUUUUAAAACAUCAUUUUUCUUUAGUGGUUACUUCUGAGAUGGGAAGAAAGUGAUGGGAUGGGGAGGGCCCCACAUAGACAUCAAAUUUGUGAUAAUUUUUAAACUUGGAGGGAGAGUUACUUGAGUGCUCACUGAAUCCUUAUUCUUUAUCAUUUACCUUAGUUUGUGACUAUGCUUUUGUACAUACUCAAUAUUUAUAAAAAUAAUUUUGCAAGUCCCACAGUGACAUGGGUUGUAGGCAAUAAAGUACAGUUAGUUAAGAGCGAAGGGUCUGAAGUUAAAGUGGUAUGAGUUGAAUCCCAGUUCCAUCAAUUACUAGUUCUGUGACCUUGGGCAAGCUACUAACCCAGUUACCUUAUCUGUGAAGUGGAGAUAAUAACUACCUAUCUAGGUUUACUGGGAGGAUUAAGUGAUUAGCACAGUGACUGACACAUCCUAAAUCCUCAAUAUGCCAGCCAGUUAUUAUUAUUAUUGAAAGAAUAGGUUCUCUGGCCAAUGACCUUUCUCAAGUGAGUACACUGUUUCUUAUGUUUUUGAUCAUGCUUCUGGUAAAUAAAUUUGUUAACUGAAUGAUUUCUUGAACAAAGAUAUCAACAAUCAAGUGCAGUGUUUUUAACCGAAAUUCCGUUAUUUCACUGUCUAAAAGACGCCCAAACGAAUGACAGAAACAAAUUUAACAGUCACACAAGAAAAGGGUGAAGAACUUGGGUAUCCAGGCUCCGUUUUCAGAGGAGUCUACUUAACGUUAGCAAUGUUAGCUGUCUCAGAUAGGAGAAGACCAAUCCAGCAUUAACUUUAAAGUUCAAAGGCAUCUACCAUUCACUUUUAUGUGUAUUCAGAGUUCACGAAAUAUGUUAAAUCCUAAUAUCUGACGCUGACAAAGAAAACAACUAGCAAAAUCCACUUAUUCCUUUUUAACAGCUGUCCCCUCAAGCAAUACUGAAAAGGAAAUCAAGGAUUAAUUUGCUUGAAGCCACAGGCCACAACUUAGUCAGCUUCUUGUUCCCUCCCAGCAUAGUGCCUUGCACGUAGUAGGUUUACAAGAAAUGAGCAAAAUUGAGUUGAAUAUAAAGUGAGGAGGUUGGACAAAAGAUGUGUACAGUCCUUUAGAUAUCAUGAAUAACCAACUGCCUAAAUGAUCAAAAUAUUAAAUUGUAAAUUUCAUGAAUGACAAACUGCCUAAAUCAUCAGACUAUCACUGAUUAUAGUUUAUUUUCAUAGUUAAACUCAAGGGUUCACUGCUACCUUAAUAAUAAAAUGUAUCAAAGAUAUUCCUCCUUCCUUAAUUUCAAUCAAUGUAAGCAUGGUCAAUCCACAGCUCUGAAUUUCAGUGUUUCAUUCUAUUAUCAUUGGAUUAAGACUAUGUCUAGGCUUUAAGUUUCUAGAAGCAUAAAGAAACUGGCGACUCUUGAGAAACACACAUGUUUUGGAGCCAAAGGAAUGAAAUUAAGACAUUUCCUUUUUUUCUUCUUUUUCUUUUAAUAAUUCCUAAUCUCCCUUUGGCAUAUUUAUUGAGCAUCAGUUGUUAUUUAAAACAAAGGUUCCCCUGGGAGAAAGAAAAUCAACCUAAAAAGAAGAGUUUUCCAGAAAUAAAAAGAGAUAGUUCCAAUAGAAAAAUAUCAGAGAGGAAUAAUCUUAAUAUUAUAUAGCAACUAAAACCUUAUCAACAAAAAAUAUAUUUUUAAAGUCAUACUACAGUUGUAGAAUUGGCCAAUACUGAACAUAUUUGAUGAGAUAUGGAUUUUUGGUAAGAACAAAGAAAAGUCCAAGUUGAAGGAUUAAGUUUCUCUCAAAAUCAGUCACUCACAUGUCUGUGCCUACGUCACAAAGUGUUUAUGAGUCUGAUCUGAUGUAUAUUCCAGGCAUCAACCCGCUUCCAAGGAGCAGAAACUCCUCAAGUGCCACCUUCCGAACUGAAAUAGAUUCAUCCACAUUUUACGUGCCUACGAACAGCUCUUAAAAGCUAUCAGCAAAGGUUAUUUGUAGGUAGAGAAGCAAAAGACAUAAAGAUUUCAAAGUCAAAAUGUAAUGCGCUUUAAUUUUUUCUGAGGCACACUCUAAGAGAAAAAUGUUCAUCAGAGAGAAAAGCAAGACCAUUCCUCCUUCAAAGAAACUGGCAAAUGCAGAAUGAAUGCACAAAACACCUGGACCUGCCUUCCUGUUUCCUUGCCAGUAACUUUUUUUAAAAUAUAAGAUUAGCUAAAAGACAAACAAACGUUCAGAGCGAUGAAAUACACGCAGUCACAUUGAUACACUCUCACAAAAGAGAGCAAAGCUGAUGCUAUUUAAAUAUCCUGAAAUAUUUUCCUAACCGUGCACAGAUGGAAGUACAGACUUUUCUGCCAAGCGCCUGGUUCAGAAACUUUGCUUUAUUUUUAAUUAUUUGGUUCAGAGGACCCGUUUGUGAUUAACUUCUGUGUUGGAUGGCGAAGCAAGUAAAGUUCCUGACCCACAGCAAAGAACACUGAGAGAAGCUUAAUUAUUCUUAAACAGCUAGUGUAAUAUUGUAAACCAUGUGUAGGGACAAUGAGUUUGUCAAGGAGCUGUUGAUGGCGACUGCCAUUUGAAGCUGUAGAGCGUAUGAGGAAAACAGAAAAAUGCAGGAGGUCUUUAGGAAGUGGCAACAAAAUGAAGUUCUCGAUCACAAAUGCAUUUUUGUCUUUGAGGAGCAGCAAUGGAGUAAGAAAUGGAGAGGAAGAAAUUAAUAGUGUUGUAAGGACUAAUCUCAUUAGCACUAGAAGUUUCAGUUUUGACUGGGAUCGGUGAAUGGAAUGCCAAAGCUUUAAGCACAGGAAGUGGACUCAGAUGCAAGGAGAAGUUGGUCAGGAAACUCAAACCAUAGAAUUCAGAAUCACACACUAGAACUGCUGAGCCAGAUAAAAUCCCAGAAGAGAAGCAGAAAGAGAAACAGGGGUCUGGCAAGAAGACAGAAAAGAUGGUCAAGGUCAUCCCAGGACUAUGCCUGUGGGCAAACGCCAAGAUGGAAAGAAUGGAUUGGUGCCUGUUUUCUAGCAUAUCUAUGUAAAGACUGACAAGAGCUGAAGAGGGAGUUGCUGCUCUGAAAGUGACAAAAGGUGUACAGCUGCAAGCUGAUCAAGUAGAAUAUUCAACAUUGUCCUGGCCAUUUAAUGACUAAGCCUGAGCCAGCUGAAAAUCAGUCGGAAACAGAUUUCAGACAACGGGAGAGCUAAACCACUGGUUCUCAGGGGUGAAGUCCAAGAGGAGGUCUCUGAAGCUGGGUGUCAUCCUUUAGGGUGGCCCAGAAUAAAAUGGUGACGCAUUAUGCCUCCUGGAGAGUUCAUAUACACUUUGAACGGCAAAGACACCAAGUCCCGUGGACUUCCAACGAAGAUCUUGGGGCAAGAGGAGAUGUCCACCAGCACUCUCUGUGACCUGUUAGAGAGAAACAUUCUUAGCUACUCCAUCAGCAAGCAAAACUCCCCCGCCAGGCUGUAUC